UCUGAUAUGGCAGAUUAAAUGCAAUAGAUUUAAGACCUAUUAAUAAAAAUUUUAUUUUUUUUCAGAA
rnacentral:tRNA from 1 species